rnacentral:rRNA from 1 species
UACAGAGGUCCCAAGCGUUGUUCGGAUUCACUGGGCGUAAAGGGUGCGUAGGCGGUCGGGUAAGUCUGACGUGAAAUCUUCAAGCUUAACCCGGGAACUGCGUCCGAUACUGGCAGGCUUGAAUCCGGGAGAGGGAUGUGGAAUUCCAGGUGUAGCGGUGAAAUGCGUAGAUAUCUGGAGGAACACCGGUGGCGAAGGCGGCAUCCUGGACCGGCAUUGACGCUGAGGCGCGAAAGCCAGGGGAGCAAACGGG